GGUUAAGCGACUAAGCGUACACGGUGGAUGCCCUGGCAGUCAGAGGCGAUGAAGGACGUGCUAAUCUGCGAAAAGCGUCGGUAAGGUGAUAUGAACCGUUAUAACCGGCGAUGUCCGAAUGGGGAAACCCAGUGCAAUUCGUUGCACUAUCGUUAACUGAAUACAUAGGUUAACGAGGCGAACCGGGGGAACUGAAACAUCUAAGUACCCCGAGGAAAAGAAAUCAACCGAGAUUCCCCCAGUAGCGGCGAGCGAACGGGGAGCAGCCCAGAGUCUGAAUCAGCUUGUGUGUUAGUGGAACGGUCUGGAAAGUCCGACGGUACAGGGUGAUAGUCCCGUACACCAAAAUGCACAGGUUGUGAACUCGAAGAGUAGGGCGGGACACGUGGUAUCCUGUCUGAAUAUGGGGGGACCAUCCUCCAAGGCUAAAUACUCCUGACUGACCGAUAGUGAACCAGUACCGUGAGGGAAAGGCGAAAAGAACCCCGGCGAGGGGAGUGAAAAAGAACCUGAAACCGUGUACGUACAAGCAGUGGGAGCACCUUCGGGUGUGACUGCGUACCUUUUGUAUAAUGGGUCAGCGACUUAUAUUCUGUAGCAAGGUUAACCGUAUAGGGGAGCCGCAGGGAAACCGAGUCUUAACUGGGCGUUAAGUUGCAGGGUAUAGACCCGAAACCCGGUGAUCUAGCCAUGGGCAGGUUGAAGGUUGGGUAACACUAACUGGAGGACCGAACCGACUAAUGUUGAAAAAUUAGCGGAUGACUUGUGGCUGGGGGUGAAAGGCCAAUCAAACCGGGAGAUAGCUGGUUCUCCCCGAAAGCUAUUUAGGUAGCGCCUCGUGAACUCAUCUUCGGGGGUAGAGCACUGUUUCGGCUAGGGGGUCAUCCCGACUUACCAACCCGAUGCAAACUACGAAUACCGAAGAAUGUUAUCACGGGAGACACACGGCGGGUGCUAACGUCCGUCGUGAAGAGGGAAACAACCCAGACCGCCAGCUAAGGUCCCAAAGUCAUGGUUAAGUGGGAAACGAUGUGGGAAGGCACAGACAGCCAGGAUGUUGGCUUAGAAGCAGCCAUCAUUUAAAGAAAGCGUAAUAGCUCACUGGUCGAGUCGGCCUGCGCGGAAGAUGUAACGGGGCUAAACCAUGCACCGAAGCUGCGGCAGCGACACUAUGUGUUGUUGGGUAGGGGAGCGUUCUGUAAGCCUGCGAAGGUGUGCUGUGAGGCAUGCUGGAGGUAUCAGAAGUGCGAAUGCUGACAUAAGUAACGAUAAAGCGGGUGAAAAGCCCGCUCGCCGGAAGACCAAGGGUUCCUGUCCAACGUUAAUCGGGGCAGGGUGAGUCGACCCCUAAGGCGAGGCCGAAAGGCGUAGUCGAUGGGAAACAGGUUAAUAUUCCUGUACUUGGUGUUACUGCGAAGGGGGGACGGAGAAGGCUAUGUUAGCCGGGCGACGGUUGUCCCGGUUUAAGCAUGUAGGCUGAUUGUCCAGGCAAAUCCGGAUAAUCAAGGCUGAGGUGUGAUGACGAGGCACUACGGUGCUGAAGUAACAAAUGCCCUGCUUCCAGGAAAAGCCUCUAAGCAUCAGGUAACAUCAAAUCGUACCCCAAACCGACACAGGUGGUCAGGUAGAGAAUACCAAGGCGCUUGAGAGAACUCGGGUGAAGGAACUAGGCAAAAUGGUGCCGUAACUUCGGGAGAAGGCACGCUGGUGUGUAGGUGAAGCCCCUGCGGGUGGAGCUGAGACCAGUCGAAGAUACCAGCUGGCUGCAACUGUUUAUUAAAAACACAGCACUGUGCAAACACGAAAGUGGACGUAUACGGUGUGACGCCUGCCCGGUGCCGGAAGGUUAAUUGAUGGGGUUAUCCGUAAGGAGAAGCUCUUGAUCGAAGCCCCGGUAAACGGCGGCCGUAACUAUAACGGUCCUAAGGUAGCGAAAUUCCUUGUCGGGUAAGUUCCGACCUGCACGAAUGGCGUAAUGAUGGCCAGGCUGUCUCCACCCGAGACUCAGUGAAAUUGAACUCGCUGUGAAGAUGCAGUGUACCCGCGGCAAGACGGAAAGACCCCGUGAACCUUUACUAUAGCUUGACACUGAACAUUGAGCCUUGAUGUGUAGGAUAGGUGGGAGGCUUUGAAGCGUGGACGCCAGUCUGCGUGGAGCCAACCUUGAAAUACCACCCUUUAAUGUUUGAUGUUCUAACGUUGGCCCCUGACCGGGGUUGCGGACAGUGUCUGGUGGGUAGUUUGACUGGGGCGGUCUCCUCCCAAAGCGUAACGGAGGAGCACGAAGGUUAGCUAAUCCUGGUCGGACAUCAGGAGGUUAGUGCAAUGGCAUAAGCUAGCUUGACUGCGAGCGUGACGGCGCGAGCAGGUGCGAAAGCAGGUCAUAGUGAUCCGGUGGUUCUGAAUGGAAGGGCCAUCGCUCAACGGAUAAAAGGUACUCCGGGGAUAACAGGCUGAUACCGCCCAAGAGUUCAUAUCGACGGCGGUGUUUGGCACCUCGAUGUCGGCUCAUCACAUCCUGGGGCUGAAGUAGGUCCCAAGGGUAUGGCUGUUCGCCAUUUAAAGUGGUACGCGAGCUGGGUUUAGAACGUCGUGAGACAGUUCGGUCCCUAUCUGCCGUGGGCGCUGGAGAAUUGAGGGGGGCUGCUCCUAGUACGAGAGGACCGGAGUGGACGCAUCACUGGUGUUCGGGUUGUCAUGCCAAUGGCACUGCCCGGUAGCUAAAUGCGGAAGAGAUAAGUGCUGAAAGCAUCUAAGCACGAAACUUGCCCCGAGAUGAGUUCUCCCUGAGACUUUAAGUCUCCUGAAGGAACGUUGAAGACGACGACGUUGAUAGGCCGGGUGUGUAAGCGCAGCGAUGCGUUGAGCUAACCGGUACUAAUGAACCGUGAGGCUUAACCUU
rnacentral:rRNA from 1 species